CAAGACAACUUUACGGAGUUGACGAUUGACGGAGCGAAGCGACGUCAAAGCGUUCAUUAAAGUCGAGUUGGCUUAGGGAUACGUUCGUUGGGUAGGGGAGCGUUCUGUAAGCCUGUGAAGGUGUGUCGUGAGGCAUGCUGGAGGUAUCAGAAGUGCGAAUGCUGACAUAAGUAACGAUAAAGCGGGUGAAAAGCCCGCUCGCCGGAAGACCAAGGGUUCCUGUCCAACGUUAAUCGGGGCAGGGUGAGUCGACCCCUAAGGCGAGGCCGAAAGGCGUAGUCGAUGGGAAACGGGUUAAUAUUCCCGUACUUGGUGUUACUGCGAAGGGGGGACGGAGAAGGCUAUGUUGGCCGGGCGACGGUUGUCCCGGUUUAAGCGUGUAGGUGUGUGUUCCAGGUAAAUCCGGUUCACUUUAACACUGAGGCGUGACGACGAGGCACUACGGUGCUGAAGCAACAAAUGCCCUGCUUCCAGGAAAAGCCUCUAAGCAUCAGGUAACACGAAAUCGUACCCCAAACCGACACAGGUGGUCAGG
rnacentral:rRNA from 2 species